AUUUGUCCUUUUUGGCUGCUGCCAAGACAGCAUAUAUGGAACUGAUUUUUGAACCUCAAGAAACUGACAUUUUGAAUUCUGCUUUGUAUCAUAAGCCUCAAAUGCAAGAAGCUGUGAUUAGAAUGUGAUAAUAGCCGAGGUGCCAUAAUUCUCUGCUGUUGUAUGUUGCCACAAACCUUCAAUCCGUGAGAAAUGCGGUAUCCAUGGUGCACCAUAAAGAGGAGCUCAAUAAAACAAGGAGGUUUGUGCAGCUAAAAUAUCUGACUCCUAAAAUGGAGUUUCCUGAAAUUAUUCCUUACUCAUAGUGUAAUGAGGUGUACGUGUUGGAUCUAUUAUAACUUUCUUUCACUCCAUCUCUCAGAAUAGAUGAUCAUCCUCAUCUUUGCAUCAUAUUCCAAUUAGAAAGGGAUGAUACAACAAGAAAGCUCUCGUAAGAUGUCAGCUGCUUGAUUUUGGACUUCGCAAACUCUAGAACUUUUCUCUUGCUUGCUCCUGCCAUGUAAGAAGUGCCUUUCGUUUCCGGCCAUGAUUCUGAGGCCUCCCCAGCUGUGUGGAACUAAUAUGGCAGAUAUAACAGCACGUAAUUUCCAAGGCAAGGUCAUAAAAGACAUUGUAGCUUCUGCCUUGUCCCUUCCUCUUGGAUCUCUUGCUAUGGAGUAGCAGCCCCAUGAAGACACCCGUGGUGGAAGAUCACUGAGGACUCCUGCCAACAGCCACCCAGUGACUGAGGCCUCUUGCAGAAAUCCAUAUGAGUGGGCCAGCUGACAAGAAAAUCUUCCAGCUCUAGUCAAGCCUUCAGAACACCAGCUCUUAGUGCCAGGAACUGCCAGGUAAGAAUUCUGACUACACUGAGGCCACCAUGCUCUGAGGAAGUCAAGCCAGAUGGAAAGAUCACAGCAGGAGAACUGGUCAGCAGUCAUACUCUUGAACUCAUCCCAACCCAGACUCCAGACAUGUGAAUUGACAAGUCUUCAGAUGAUUCCAGCACAAAGCCAUUGAGUCACCUCCAGCCAUUGAGUGUCCCCAGCCGAGACACCAGUCACCAUCAAGCAGAGCCAGUAUGCCUGUUAUGCCUGUCCAAAUUCUUGACCCACUAAAUUCUAUGAAAUUAAUAAAUGGUUGUUUAAGUUACUAAAUUUUAAACUUAAUUUGUUAUGCAGUAAUAGGAAUUGUUCCUGUCUGUGAGCAAGUCCUCAUGGACAAUAAACUCAGAUCUGUCUGUGGAAUCUGGGAGAAAAAGAGACUGUUAUCCUUCCCCAUGGUACAGCCCCAGAAAGAUAAAAGUCUCAGAAUAAAACACUGUACAUGCAUAGCUCA